rnacentral:rRNA from 1 species
AUUGAACGCUGGCGGAAUGCUUUACACAUGCAAGUCGAACGGCAGCACGGGGGCAGCCCUGGUGGCGAGUGGCGAACGGGUGAGUAAUACAUCGGAACGUGCCCGGUCGUGGGGGAUAACGUAGCGAAAGUUACGCUAAUACCGCAUACGAUCUGAGGAUGAAAGCGGGGGACCUUCGGGCCUCGCGCGAUCGGAGCGGCCGAUGUCAGAUUAGGUAGUUGGUGGGGUAAAGGCCUACCAAGCCGACGAUCUGUAGCUGGUCUGAGAGGACGACCAGCCACACUGGGACUGAGACACGGCCCAGACUCCUACGGGAGGCAGCAGUGGGGAAUUUUGGACAAUGGGCGCAAGCCUGAUCCAGCCAUUCCGCGUGCAGGACGAAGGCCUUCGGGUUGUAAACUGUUUUUGUACGGAACGAAAAGGCUCUGGCUAAUACCUGGGGCUCAUGACGGUACCGUAAGAAUAAGCACCGGCUAACUACGUG